UACGAAGGGGGCUAGCGUUGUUCGGAUUUACUGGGCGUAAAGCGCACGUAGGCGGAUCGUUAAGUCGGGGGUGAAAUCCUGGAGCUCAACUCUAGAACUGCCUUCGAUACUGGCGAUCUUGAGUCCGGAAGAGGUGAGUGGAACUCCUAGUGUAGAGGUGGAAUUCGUAGAUAUUAGGAAGAACACCAGUGGCGAAGGCGGCUCACUGGUCCGGUACUGACGCUGAGGUGCGAAAGCGUGGGGAGCAAACAGG
rnacentral:rRNA from 1 species